rnacentral:rRNA from 1 species
GACAAACGCUGGCGGCAUGCCUAACACAUGCAAGUCGAACGGACAGAACAGGGAAGCUUUUCGGAGUGGAACUGGAAAGUUAGUGGCGGAUGGGUGAGUAACGCGUGGACAACCUACCUUGUAAAGGGGAAUAACCUCGAGAAAUCGAAGCUAAUACCCCAUAAUAACCUUGCUUCGCAUGAAGUAAGGAGGAAAGGCGGCCUUAGCGCUGUCGAUACAAGAUGGGUCCGCGUCUGAUUAGCUAGUUGGUGAGGUAAAGGCCUACCAAGGCGACGAGCAGUAGCCGGCCUGAGAGGGUGAACGGCCACAUUGGGACUGAGACACGGCCCAUACUCCUACGGGAGGCAGCAGUGGGGAAUCUUCCGCAAUGGGCGAAAGCCUGACGGAGCAAUGCCGCGUGAGUGAAGAAGGCCUUCGGGUUGUAAAACUCUGUCCUUAUCGAAGAGAGAGUGUUGUAGUAACUGACAAUACUAGGACGGUAGAUGAUGAGGAAGCCCCGGCUAACUAUGUG